rnacentral:rRNA from 1 species
UGCAGUCGAACGGUUGGUAGCAAUACCACUAGUGGCGCACGGGUGCGUAACGCGUAACCAACCUACCCGAAUCUGGGGGAUAGCCCGCCGAAAGGCGGAUUAAUACCGCAUAAAACUGCAGCCUGGCAUCGGGUAACAGUUAAAGAUUUAUUGGAUUCGGAUGGGGUUGCGUGCCAUUAGCUAGUUGGCGGGGUAACGGCCCACCAAGGCGACGAUGGCUAGGGGAGCUGAGAGGCUGGUCCCCCACACGGGCACUGAGAUACGGGCCCGACUCCUACGGGAGGCAGCAGUAGGGAAUAUUGGGCAAUGGGCGAGAGCCUGACCCAGCCAUGCCGCGUGCAGGAUGAAGGCUUUCUGAGUCGUAAACUGCUUUUACCAGGGAAGAAAAAAGGGGAUGCGUCCUCUACUGACGGUACCUGGUGAAUAAGCACCGGCUAACUCCGUGCCAGCAGCCGCGGUAAUACGGAGGGUGCAAGCGUUGUCCGGAUUUAUUGGGUUUAAAGGGUGCGUAGGCGGCUGAUUAAGUCUGGGGUGAAAGCCCGUUGCUCAACAACGGAACUGCCCUGGAAACUGGUUAGCUUGAGUACAGACGAGGGUGGCGGAAUGGAUACUGUAGCGGUGAAAUGCAUAGAUAGUAUCCAGAACCCCGAUUGCGAAGGCAGCUGCCUAGACUGUAACUGACGCUGAGGCACGAAAGCGUGGGGAGCGA